UUGACCUCGAAUCAGGUAGGGAUACCCGCUGAACUUAAGCAUAUCAAUAAGCGGANNNNNNNNNNNNNNNNNNNNNNNNNNNAGUAACGGCGAGUGAAGCGGUAACAGCUCAAAUUUGAAAUCUGGCUCCUUCGGAGUCCGAGUUGUAAUUUGUAGAAGAUGCUUUGGGUUGCAGGUUCGGUCUAAGUUCCUUGGAACAGGGCGUCAUAGAGGGUGAGAAUCCCGUCUGCGGCCGUGACCUGUGCCCGUGUAAAGCUCUUUCGACGAGUCGAGUUGUUUGGGAAUGCAGCUCAAAAUGGGUGGUAAAUUUCAUCUAAAGCUAAAUAUUGGCCAGAGACCGAUAGCGCACAAGUAGAGUGAUCGAAAGAUGAAAAGCACUUUGGAAAGAGAGUUAAACAGUACGUGAAAUUGUUGAAAGGGAAGCGCUUGCAACCAGACUUGGGCGUCGUGGAUCAUCCGAGGUUCUCCUCGGUGCACUCGACGACGCACAGGCCAGCAUCGGUUUGGAUGGCUGGAAAAAGGCCCUAGAAAUGUAGCUCCUCGCGGGGAGUGUUAUAGUCUAGGGCGUAAUGCAGCCCAUCUGGACCGAGGACCGCGCUUCGGCUAGGAUGCUGGCGUAAUGGUUGUAAGCGACCCGUCUUGAAACACGGACCAAGGAGUCUAACAUCUAUGCGAGUGUUUGGGCGUUAAACCCAUACGCGGAAUGAAAGUGAACGUAGGUGAGAACCCGUAUGGGGGCAUCAUCGACCGAUCCUGAAUCUUCGG
rnacentral:rRNA from 1 species